rnacentral:rRNA from 1 species
UACGUAGGGUGCAAGCGUUAAUCGGAAUUACUGGGCGUAAAGCGUGCGCAGGCGGUUCGUUAUGUCCGAUGUGAAAGCCCCGAGCUUAACUUGGGAAUGGCAUUGGAAACUGGCGGGCUGGAGUGCGGCAGAGGGGGGUGGAAUUCCACGUGUAGCAGUGAAAUGCGUAGAGAUGUGGAGGAACACCGAUGGCGAAGGCAGCCCCCUGGGUCAAGAUUGACGCUCAUGCACGAAAGCGUGGGGAGCAAACAGG